UACGUAGGGGGCGAGCGUUAUCCGGAUUUACUGGGUGUAAAGGGAGCGUAGACGGCGUCGCAAGUCUGAAGUGAAAGCCCGUGGCUCAACCGCGGAACCGCUUUGGAAACUGCGAGGCUGGAGUGCUGGAGAGGUAAGCGGAAUUCCUGGUGUAGCGGUGAAAUGCGUAGAUAUUAGGAGGAACACCAGUGGCGAAGGCGGCCUGCUGGACGGUGACUGACGCUGAGGCUCGAAAGCGUGGGGAGCAAACAGG
rnacentral:rRNA from 1 species